AAACACACACUCUGCAUUAUAUACACACUCUGCAUUAUAUAAACAGAGUGUGUGUAUAUAAUGCAGAGUGUGUGUUU